rfam:Schistosoma mansoni, Puerto Rico, WGS project CABG01000000 data, contig: 0230
GCACUGCUGAGGAGUCCCACAAUAGGACGAAAAGGCCGUCCAGUGC